GCUGGUGCAGAGUUAAGGAGGCAGAGCCCAGCUGCACACCUUGCCCGGCCAAAGCGGCAGGAAGCUCCUGCACCCUCAGCCCUGUCGGAACCAGGUAGAGGUCAGAGCAGAACAAAAGGGAAAAAGAGAAAAGCCCCGCGGACCCUGACAUCAAGGGUGUAUGGCUAGAAGACCCCAUAUCUACAAUGGAGACACACGUGAACAGCCUGCUUCCACCCAGGCUGCCUCCCAGGUGGUGAGGAAACAGGAUGGAAGAGUGGCAGACACUUCUUAUUUCUUCCCCAGGAAACAGGAUGGAGGAGACACUGUUCCCAUCCAACCCCAUGUCUUCAUCCAAGCCAGUAAGCCACUGCAGAAAAUAGGCAGCUUCUGUAGGAGACAGUAAGCCAUGCCUGUUAGAGGCUGGCUACAGGUGUGCCUGACCACGCCUGUCAAAGCAUGGGCUCUUAAGGAACCGUGAGCACAUGGAAGCCUUCUCUUUUCCCUUCUCCCUGGCCUUGCUGCUCAGCUGCCCCUGGCACACUCUGGCUUUCGUUUGGCUGGUAUUUAUCUGAAUAAAGGUAUCUUGAACCUACAAGCUCUCCCAUCAAGCUUCUCCAAUGAUAAGACCUUAAUAAACCUG
rnacentral:lncRNA from 1 species